rnacentral:rRNA from 1 species
AACUAGAAGGUAACUCCCCCAUAAUAUUGCGGGAAGGCAUUCUUUCUGCAAUUAAAGUUUCGACGGUAUAUGAUUGGUGUGCGUUUGAUUAGCUAGUUGGUAGGGUAACGGCCUACCAAGGCGACGAUCAAUAGCUGGCGUGAGAGCGCGACCAGCCACACUGGAACUGAGACACGGUCCAGACUCCUACGGGAGGCAGCAGUAGGGAAUAUUGGACAAUGGGCGAAAGCCUGAUCCAGCCAUGCCGCGUGAUAGAUGAAGGCCCUCUGGGUUGUAAAUAUCUUUUAUCUGGGAAGAAACUCCUCUAUUCUUAGAGGCCUGACGGUACCAGAGGAAUAAGCACCGGCUAACUCCGUG